AUUGAACGCUGGUGGCAGGCUUAACACAUGCAAGUCGAGCGGGGGAAGGUAGCUUGCUACCGGACCUAGCGGCGGACGGGUGAGUAAUGCUUAGGAAUCUGCCUAUUAGUGGGGGACAACAUCUCGAAAGGGAUGCUAAUACCGCAUAAUCUCUACGGAGCAAAGUGGGGGAUCGUAAGACCUCACGCUAUAAGAUGAGCCUGCGUCGGAUUAGCUUGUUGGUGGGGUAAUGGCCUACCAAGGCGACGAUCCGUAGCUGGUCUGAGAGGACGACCAGCCACACUGGGACUGAGACACGGCCCAGACUCCUACGGGAGGCAGCAGUGGGGAAUAUUGGACAAUGGGGGCAACCCUGAUCCAGCAAUGCCGCGUGUGUGAAGAAGGCCUUCGGGUUGUAAAGCACUUUCAAUAGGAAGGAACAAGUUUGCGAUUAAUACUUGUGAACCUAGACGUUACCUAUAGAAGAAGCACUGGCUAACUCUGUGCCAGCCGCCGCCGUAA
rnacentral:rRNA from 1 species